rnacentral:rRNA from 1 species
GAUGAACGCUAGCGGCGUGCCUAACACAUGCAAGUCGAACGUGAGAGGGUACUUGUAUCCUUGAAAGUGGCGGACGGGUGAGUAAGACGUAGGUGACCUGCCUUGAAGUGGGGGAUAACCAUUGGAAACGAUGGCUAAUACCGCAUAAGCUGGUGACGAUGGGAAUCGUUAUCAGGAAAGCUUUAGUGCUUUGAGAGGGGCCUACGGCCGAUUAGCUAGUUGGUGAGGUAAAGGCUCACCAAGGCGAUGAUCGGUAGCUGGUCUGAGAGGACGAUCAGCCACACGGGAACUGAGACACGGUCCCGACUCCUACGGGGGGCAGCAGUAAGGAAUAUUGCUCAAUGGGGGAAACCCUGAAGCAGCAACGCCGCGUGAAGGAUGAAAUACUUUUGUAUGUAAACUUCUGUAAGAUGGGAAAAAUAUUCUCCUCGGGAGAAUUGAUUGUACCAUCAGAGUAAGCCCCGGUAACUACGUGCCAGCAGCCG